UACGGAGGGUGCAAGCGUUGUUCGGAAUCACUGGGCGUAAAGCGCGUGCAGGCGGCCUAUUAAGUCAGAUGUGAAAGCCCUCGGCUCAACCAAGGAAUUGCAUCUGAAACUGGUAGGCUUGAGUACGGGAGAGGAGAGUGGAAUUCCCGGUGUAGAGGUGUAAUUCGUAGAUAUCGGGAAGAACACCGGUGGCGAAGGCGGCUCUCUGGACCGAUACUGACGCUGAGACGCGAAAGCGUGGGGAGCAAACAGG
rnacentral:misc_RNA from 1 species